rnacentral:rRNA from 1 species
AGAGUUUGAUCCUGGCUCAGGAUGAACGCUAGCGGCAGGCUUAAUACAUGCAAGUCGAGGGGCAGCAGGACUGUAGCAAUACAGUUGCUGGCGACCGGCAAACGGGUGCGGAACACGUACGCAACUUACCCAGAACUGGGGCAUAGCCCUCCGAAAGGAGGAUUAACACCCCAUAAGAUAGUAGAGUGGCAUCACUCAGCUAUUAAAACUCCGGUGGUUUUGGAUGGGCGUGCGGCCCAUUAGAUAGUUGGUGAGGUAACGGCUCACCAAGUCUGCGAUGGGUAACUGGUGUGAGAGCACGACCAGUCACACGGGCACUGAGACACGGGCCCGACUCCUACGGGAGGCAGCAGUAAGGAAUAUUGGUCAAUGGAGGCAACUCUGAACCAGCCAUGCCGCGUGAAGGAUGAAGGCCCUCUGGGUUGUAAACUUCUUUUGUAAGGGAAGAAAUACAGACAUUCUUGUUUGUUUGACGGUACCUUAAGAAUAAGCACCGGCUAACUCCGUGCCAGCAGCCGCGGUAAUACGGAGGGUGCAAGCGUUAUCCGGAUUCACUGGGUUUAAAGGGUGCGUAGGCGGGCAGGUAAGUCAGUGGUGAAAUCUUCGAGCUUAACUCGGAAACUGCCGUUGAUACUAUCUGUCUUGAAUACCCCGGGAGGUGAGCGGAAUAUGUCAUGUAGCGGUGAAAUGCUUAGAUAUGACAUAGAACACCAAUUGCGAAGGCAGCUCACUACAGGGUCAUUGACGCUGAGGCACGAAAGCGUGGGGAUCAAACAGGAUUAGAUACCCUAGUAGUCC